rnacentral:rRNA from 1 species
UACGUAGGGGGCAAGCGUUGUCCGGAAUCAUUGGGCGUAAAGCGCGUGUAGGCGGCGCACCAAGUCAGGCGUGAAAGCCCUGGGCUCAACCCGGGAAUUGCGCUUGAGACUGGUGUGCUUGAGUACGGGAGAGGAUAGUGGAAUUCCCAGUGUAGAGGUGAAAUUCGUAGAUAUUGGGAAGAACACCGGUGGCGAAGGCGGCUAUCUGGACCGUAACUGACGCUGAGGCGCGAAAGCGUGGGGAGCAAACAGG